rnacentral:snoRNA from 1 species
AAACUAUGAUGUGGACACUCUAAGAGAAGGUCUUUGAAACGUUCCAUACAUCGAGAGAAUGAUUCAUUGGGUCACUGGAGAAACUACAGAAUAUCUUUCCUAAGUUU